UCAGAUAAAGGCAAACCCUGGGUAACCAGGGGACGCAAAGUAAAGGAUCUUUAAAAUAUUUUCCUGCUAUGACAGGAAAAAUAUAAAGACAGCCUUACUGCCGAAG
rnacentral:ncRNA from 1 species